ACGGGUGAGUAACACGUGAGUAACCUGCCCUUGACUCUGGGAUAAGCCUGGGAAACUGGGUCUAAUACCGGAUAUGACCUUCCAUCGCAUGGUGGUUGGUGGAAAGCUUUUGUGGUUUUGGAUGGACUCGCGGCCUAUCAGCUUGUUGGUGGGGUAAUGGCCUACCUAGGCGACGACGGGUAGCCGGCCUGAGAGGGUGACCGGCCACACUGGGACUGAGACACGGCCCAGACUCCUACGGGAGGCAGCAGUGGGGAAUAUUGCACAAUGGGCGGAAGCCUGAUGCAGCGACGCCGCGUGAGGGAUGACGGCCUUCGGGUUGUAAACCUCUUUCAGUAGGGAAGAAGCGAAAGUGACGGUACCUGCAGAAGAAGCGCCGGCUAACUACGUGCCAGCAGCCGCGGUAAUACGUAGGGCGCAAGCGUUAUCCGGAAUUAUUGGGCGUAAAGAGCUCGUAGGCGGUUUGUCGCGUCUGCCGUGAAAGUCCGGGGCUCAACUCCGGAUCUGCGGUGGGUACGGGCAGACUAGAGUGAUGUAGGGGAGACUGGAAUUCCUGGUGUAGCGGUGAAAUGCGCAGA
rnacentral:rRNA from 1 species